GAUCGCACCACAAGACCGCAGUUGCUUGACGCAGCUCGCAUCCUCGAUACAUGGCCUCACCUUGUGCAGCCACCUCGUUCCUCCUGAAACAACCCACUAUCCAAAGUCACAGGAACACCAUCUCCGACCGUCUACAGCGAAGAACCUCAGAAUGAUCGGCGCAUGAUUCACCUACAACGGUUAAUGUCAAUUUCAUGCUAGCUCAGUUGACCUUGUUGGAAGUCAACCACAAGUUAACUCUGUCGGACAAGAAGGUCAGCCGAGAGAGCUCAUUCUGAACCGAGGUGACGACACCAGAUGUGAGAUGAUGACACAAAUGAGGGAAACCAAGGUUGCAGUGAUGGCUACCAACCUCUGUGAUACCUCCGUGAUGAUUCCUCUGCCUGCCUGAGAAUGUCUUCGUGGCUGUAGCUGAUAAAGAAGGCCAUGUGGAGUUUGGGAUCCUCUGUCUCCUUCGCCGCAGCGAGAAACCUCCUCGCCACCUGUAGAUAUGUGGUCGUGAGAUCCGAGCAAGCGUUCUUCUGCGUUUGGAGUCGAUUCCAAGAGCAAAUGGCACACCUCAAGAGGAGUCGUCUCUCCUGAUUUGUAAGCUCUGAAGAAGUCCCGAAUCGUCCAGCGCUUGAAUUGGGAAGCCGAGUCGGUGAAGGAAGAAUCCAAGCAUGGAGGAAGGCAGCUUGCAGCUUCCUGAACUCGUUCGGCAGGCGACAGAUUGGGCUUUAUGGGAGUAACACUCUGUUCUGAGAUAUCUGAGAGGGAGAAAGAGCACGAAUCAUUACAUCCGACCGAACAAUUCGAGUUCGAGAAGCGAUCCAAACCUUCGCUGCUAUGGGUGGCAGUGAACAGUGGCGGCUCCUGGAUAUCCGCGACCGAGACGAGCUGCAAGAAGACGAGCCAUCAGAGGGAGAGGGAGAGGAAGAGGAAGAGGAUGGGCAACAAAAGUGUACCCUCUGUAUGAGGUUGUCCUUCUUCAGUAUGUAGAGAACGAUCGAUCCGAGGAUGGGCGACUCGAGAAUCCACACGAAGAUCUUGACGAGAAGCCCCGCCACACGAGGAGCUGCGAUUCGGGGGAGGCCAACAAGCUUCGAUCACUGCGACAUCUCAUGAGGACGUUCCCAGAAGUGGAGCAGAGCAGUGGUUACCUUUGACGUUGGCAUGCAGGUAGAACUCGUCGCUGUGGACGCCGAGGUCCACCUCGGGGGCAGGCUUGUACGCUUUCCCGGCGUCCCUGAAGAGUCCCAUGGCCUUCACACCGAUGUGAACUCGUCGAAGACGACGACAGCCACCUGCUCCUGUGUUUUCUUUGGAGUGUUUGUGCGUGUGUAUAUAUAUAGAAACGGAGGGGGGGAGAGAGAGACAGAGAGAGAGAGAGAGAGAGAGAGAGAGAGGCGUUUGGGGGCGGAGUUGGCGAGAGAAUAGUAGCUGAAGAAACAGAGGAUGCCAAGCAAAGAAAAAGAGAGAGUAAUGAAAGGAAAACAAAGAGAAAGAAGAAGAGUAAUAGGUGGGUGCAAAACGAGAGAGAGAGAGAGAGAGAAGGAAGGAUGUAAGGAAGACGUGGUCCUGUUUCUUGUGACCAUGCUUUGGGCCGUGCCGUUUCGCCUCACACGAAGUCACCAUCACCGGGUCGAUGUGCACGUGACACUUCCGUUAGUUUCACGUAGAUUGAUUUGUAGGAUUCGAUGAAUCUACGACCAUUCGUUUUAGCUUAAACGUUUCGGAUCGGUAGUUCCGAUUUAUAUGAUUAAUACAUCAAUUAUUGUAUAGAUAAUUUAUGUAUUAUCGAUACAAAUAUUGAUAAUUGAUUUGUGUGGUUAAUACAUCA